rnacentral:snRNA from 1 species
GUCACUUCUCGGCCUUUUUCUCUGAAGUCAAGUGUAGUAUCUGUUCUGCCAGUUUGAUGUCUGAUCCAUCCUCGAGGGCAGCAUAUUAAAUGGAUUUUUGGAGCAGCAAAAUGGGACAGGAGCUUGCUCUGCUUACUUGCCACGUCUGCCUGGUAUUGUAGUACCUCCCGCAUGGGACACUCCUC